rnacentral:rRNA from 1 species
GAUGAACGCUAGCGGCAGGCCUAAUACAUGCAAGUCGAGGGGUAGGGUAGCAAUACCUGAGACCGGCGCACGGGUGCGUAACACGUAUGCAAUCUACCUUUAAUUGGGGGAUAGCCUCGAGAAAUCGGGAUUAAUACCCCAUAAUAUGGUACCAUCGCAUGAUGGAACCAUAAAAGCUUCGGCGGUAAAGGAUGGGCAUGCGUGACAUUAGCUGGUUGGUAGGGUAACGGCCUACCAAGGCUACGAUGUCUAGGGGUUCUGAGAGGGAGGUCCCCCACACUGGUACUGAGACACGGACCAGACUCCUACGGGAGGCAGCAGUGAGGAAUAUUGGUCAAUGGGCGCGAGCCUGAACCAGCCAUCCCGCGUGCAGGAAGGCGGCCCUAUGGGUUGUAAACUGCUUUUGUGCAGGAAGAAUGUGCCCAUCGUGAUGGGUAGUGACGGUACUGCAUGAAUAAGCACCGGCUAACUCCGUGCCAGCCGCCGCCGUAA